GGGGCCAUAGCUCAGUUGGGAGAGCGUCUGAAUGGCAUUCAGAAGGUCGGGGGUUCGACUCCCCCUGGCUCCA
rnacentral:tRNA from 1 species